rnacentral:rRNA from 1 species
AGAGUUUGAUCAUGGCUCAGAGUGAACGCUGGCGGCGUGCCUAACACAUGCAAGUCGAACGAGAACGGAUUACAGCUUGCUGUAAUUGUCAGCUAAGUGGCGCACGGGUGAGUAAUAUAUAGUUAAUCUGCCCCAAAGAAGAGAAUAAUUGUUGGAAACGACUUGUAAUGCUCUAUAUGCCUUUAUCACAUAAGUGAGCAAGGGAAAUAUUUAUAGCUUUGGGAUGAGACUGUACGGUAUCAGCUAGUUGGUGAGGUAAUGGCUCACCAAGGCUAUGACAUCUAACUGGUUUGAGAGGAGGAUCAGUCACACUGGAACUGAGACACGGUCCAGACUCCUACGGGAGGCAGCAGUGGGGAAUAUUGCACAAUGGAGGGAACUCUGAUGCAGCAACGCCGCGUGGAGGAUGACACAUUUCGGUGCGUAAACUCCUUUUAUAUGAGAAGAUAAUGACGGUAUCAUAUGAAUAAGCACCGGCUAACUCCGUGCCAGCAGCCGCGGUAAUACGGGGGGUGCAAGCGUUACUCGGAAUCACUGGGCGUAAAGAGCAUGUAGGCUGUAGAUUAAGUUGGAAGUGAAAUCCUAUGGCUCAACCAUAGAACUGCUUCCAAAACUGAUUUGCUAGAGUAUGGGAGAGGUAGAUGGAAUUUCUGGUGUAGGGGUAAAAUCCGUAGAGAUC